AAAAAAUCACCAUGCAGCAUUAAUUUUUUGAAAUUUUACAGGAAAAUUAAGAAAAACAGGGAGAGAAAUGAAAAAUGUUCUUAUUACAGCAAUAAAGUUAAUUAAAAAGAACUAACUUAUCAAUUAUUAUCGACUUUAAAAUGCCGACUCUCUCUAAAAACCCGAUUUCCUCGGCAUGGUUGUUGGCAGACAGCGCGGAGGCGGAGCGACGACUGCCUGAGGCUGAGGACUGAUUGAGGGAAGCAAUACAGGAGCUACAGAGGCAUCAUAGGAUGGCGGCGAGUGGCGACGACACCCCGUACGACCAUGCUGAUGAUCCUGCGUGGCCAACGCCAUUGGUAAUUUCUGCCAAAGCUUUCUCCUCUGUUAUGGCGUUAGAGUAGGCAUCGGGAUUCUUUCUCGCACUUUCAAGCUCGCCAGAGGACAAUCGUAUUCGUUGCUUCUUGAUCUCAAGAUUAGGGUUUUAACCAAUCAAACAAAAUCUUAUUGAGCUAAUAAAAUUGAACUCUUAAAAAAAGAAGCGGUGGCUAAUGAGAUUUGAUGAUUCUUUUGUAGAAUUAUCCUUAGAUUACAUUUAACCCAAAAUGAAAACUAAAACAUGAAAGAUAUUCAAAUUAUCCCCAGAUUAGGAAAUAAAAGAGAAGAUAAAAUUGAAUAAUAUUACUCACAGUAAGCGGUAGAAAGUCUUGAACAACGUUGCCUUCAGCGGAAUAGUAGACAAAACUUACGUUUCUUCCAUGCCCAAAACAACAGCCCUGUUAGCAAAACGAUUUGGGGAAGAAGAUUGCCAUUGUAGAGUAAUAAUAAGAAAAUUGCCUUGUACAACCAUCUCCAAAAGUAAAUUUCCCAGCGUCACAUUUGUGGAGUUCCUUCAAAAUGUCUUUGUUUAUAGUCUCUUGAAAAAUUACAACCAAAAUACUAAACCUUCUCUAUAAUCGAUACUCGAUCACCAGUU
rnacentral:lncRNA from 1 species